CUCGUCACCGCCCGUUACCGCCGUGAGUCGCCACCCGUCGGCCUGCCUGCCUUUAGGUGGCAGAUCAAUGUCAACUAGCUUGGUGAGCUCUGCAUCAGCGUCAAUGUUCUCAACAGUGGCUACUUUCUUCACUGUGCGUUCACAACGAUCCAUCGCCGCAGCCUUUUACGGGUGAAGUGGUGGAAGCGCUGAAGCUGAUUUACAACGAUGCAGAGGAGGCCGGCGGUGAUUCACGGCCACAGGAAAUCAUCGUGUGACCUAGACGAUGACCGACAAGGGGGCUUCGUCUUUGACGGUGACAAUGGUAGUUGGUGGCAUAACGGGGCUUCCGGGCGUCUAGACUACCAGAACAACUCACCAUUUAUAAACAUGGAGUACAGCUCUGGCAGAAUAGAAACAAGGCAGGAGCGUGAUGACCGUUAUUCGACAGAGUCCCAGUGACCCUCUAGUUAGGCUGAUGUUGUCAUCUGCCUUUAGCUGCAUGUUGUCCCAGAAUAGUCAGGACACUGAAAUUUGGAUGAACUCUGAAUCUUUCAGGUGUAGACUUGAGUGGACUGCUUUGGUGUUGUAACAGAUGUAUGAAUGUCAUUCUGUUUUAGCCCAGUGUCUUGCAGUUGCACAGGUUGCUCUGCAUAUUCUGCCAUUGCUUCUGAUAAAAUGAAAAUGAUGAGUUGCUUCUCCCAUUGCCAA